rnacentral:rRNA from 2 species
AAAGUAUGGGGAGCAAACAGGAUUAGAUACCCUGGUAGUCCAUACCGUAAACGAUGAAUGCUAAGUGUUGGAGGGUUUCCGCCCUUCAGUGCUGCAGCUAACGCAUUAAGCAUUCCGCCUGGGGAGUACGGCCGCAAGGCUGAAACUCAAAGGAAUUGACGGGGGCCCGCACAAGCGGUGGAGCAUGUGGUUUAAUUCGAAGCUACGCGAAGAACCUUACCAGGUCUUGACAUCCUAUGCACAUUUAAGAGAUUAGACGUUCCCUUCGGGGACAAAGAUACAGGUGGUGCAUGGUUGUCGUCAGCUCGUGUCGUGAGAUGUUGGGUUAAGUCCCGCAACGAGCGCAACCCUUAUUAUCAGUUGCCAGCAUUAAGUUGGGCACUCUGGCGAGACUGCCGGUGACAAACCGGAGGAAGGUGGGGAUGACGUCAAAUCAUCAUGCCCCUUAUGACCUGGGCUACACACGUGCUACAAUGGAAAGUACAACGAGUUGCGAACUCGCGAGAGUAAGCUAAUCUCUUAAAGCCUUUCUCAGUUCGGAUUGUAGGCUGCAACUCGCCUACAUGAAGUCGGAAUCGCUAGUAAUCGCGGAUCAGCAUGCCGCGGUGAAUACGUUCCCGGGCCUUGUACACACCGCCCGUCACACCAUGAGAGUUUGUAACACCCAA